AGUGAACGCUGGCGGUAGGCCUAACACAUGCAAGUCGAACGGCAGCACAGUAAGAGCUUGCUCUUACGGGUGGCGAGUGGCGGACGGGUGAGGAAUACAUCGGAAUCUACUUUUUCGUGGGGGAUAACGUAGGGAAACUUACGCUAAUACCGCAUACGACCUACGGGUGAAAGCAGGGGAUCUUCGGACCUUGCGCGAUUGAAUUAGCCGAUGUCGGAUUAGCUAGUUGGCGGGGUAAAGGCCCACCAAGGCAACGAUCCGUAGCUGGUCUGAGAGGAUGAUCAGCCACACUGGAACUGAGACACGGUCCAGACUCCUACGGGAGGCAGCAGUAGGGAAUAUUGGACAAUGGGCGAAAGCCUGACCCAGCAAUACCGCGUGGGUGAAGAAGGCCUUCGGGUUGUAAAGCCCUUUUGUUGGGAAAGAAAAGAAGCAGGUUAAUACACGGCUGUUCUGACGGUACCCAAAGAAUAAGCACCGGCUAACUUCGUG
rnacentral:rRNA from 1 species